UGGGAGGGCUGCGGGUAGCCGGCGGAGGAACGUGCACAGCAUGCAACCCCAGGCCGUCGUCUGACCUUGAGUCUGCUGUGAAAGUACAAAAUUUGAUCCUUCCAUCAUGGCUAAGACCUUGCGGAAGUAAUUCUCUGUUUUCCCCCACAGCAAACUUCUAUUGCACUGUGAAAGCCAAAAAUUAAAGAAGCAUGAAAUAGGACGGUCAGUGUUAUUGUUGUGCUUACACAGCAGCUGCUUAGGAAGAGCUUCCCUAGCUAUCAAAACGGGUAGAGAGAUUGAUACUGCUAUAUCUGUGUCAGAGAUGAGCAAUUCUUGUGUGUUAAGCUGGAAAAAGUCACCUCCAGUUUACUUGCUACUAAAACGCAGUACAAAUCUGACAUAGCAUUGGAUUUCAUACCCUGAGGAUUGUCCUUAUUUAAAAUCCAGUUAUUCCCAGAAGGAUAACUGCGAAAACAUACCUGGUCUGAUAUUCUCCUACCAAAACGGUGGUUUCUGCUGAGGGGAGAAAGGGAGGUAGUGGUGUAAAU
rnacentral:lncRNA from 1 species